CGGAGAGGUGGGUCGGGGGGAGGCUGCUGGGAAGAAGGCCGGCUAGGGAGAACGAAGCCCGAGAUUCUGAAGGGUCAAGCGAAAACGCCAGGCGCCGAGAGGCGAAAGGAGGCCAGAGGCGAAGCUGGAGACCGGGCCUGAGUGGGGAGGGGGCUUAGGCUCCGGCGACUGGAGAGGAACCCGAAGCCCGCGCGGCGGCGUUUCCAGGCCUAGGAACCGACUCUGGCAUAUACGAGGCACUCAACAAAUAUUUGUUGAAUGAUUUUAACGAGAAAUACCCACCCACCUAUCCAGCUCUUUUGUCUUCUGAGUCGAGGGUAUAGUUCAUCGCUGCAAAGGUGAAAUUCUGAAAAUGGGAAUCUGCAGAAUCAGCUCUGUCUACCCCGAUUCUAAAAUUCCAGAGGAGAUUGAAUUGUAUCUUCGCCAACUUCUGCCUGGAUUGGGAAUUACGGUCAUCAAGUGGGGAACUUGGAGACAACAGCCAGACUCACCAGCACCCUGAGCAGUGACCUCAGUGCUCACUGGGAGAACAUGGACUGGUACCAGCAGAAACCAGGGAGCACUCCCUGGUUCUUCCUGUACUGCUCAGAGUCAGCUAAGCAGCAGGGAUCCUGGGACCCUGGUGGAGACUCUGGAUCCUGGGACGAUCUGUGAGACUCACCUGCACCCUGAGCAAUAGCUUCAAUGUGGGUGACUUCUGGAUACACUGGUUCCAGCAGAAGCCAGGGAGUCCUCCCCGAUAUCAUCUGAUAUUCAAGUCUGACUCAGAGAAGCACCAGGGCUCUGGGGUCCCCAGUCACUUCUCUGGAGCCAAAGAUGGCCCAGCUAACUCAGGGGUUCUGCACAUCUCUGGGCUGCAGCAGGAGGA